UACGGAGGGGGCUAGCGUUGUUCGGAAUUACUGGGCGUAAAGCGCACGUAGGCGGACCAGCAAGUUAGGGGUGAAAUCCCGGGGCUCAACCCCGGAACUGCCUUUAAAACUGUUGGUCUGGAGGUCGAGAGAGGUGAGUGGAAUUCCGAGUGUAGAGGUGAAAUUCGUAGAUAUUCGGAAGAACACCAGUGGCGAAGGCGACUUACUGGACACAUACUGACGCUGAGGUGCGAAAGCGUGGGGAGCAAACAGG
rnacentral:rRNA from 1 species